rnacentral:rRNA from 1 species
AUUGAACGCUAACGGCGUGCUUAACACAUGCAAGUCGAGCGGCAGCACAGUAGUAGCAAUACUAUGGGUGGCGAGCGGCGGACGGGCGAGUAAUGCAUAGGAAUCUGCCUUGUAGUGGGGAAUAACCCGGGGAAACUCGGCCUAAUACCGCAUAAUCUCUACGGAGCAAAGUGGGGGACCGUAAGGCCUCACGCUAAAAGAUGAGCCAAUGUUGGAUUAGCUAGUUGGUAGGCUAAAGGCCUACCAAGGCAACGAUCCAUAGCUGGUUUGAGAGGAUGAUCAGCCACACUGGGACUGAGACACGGCCCAGACUCCUACGGGAGGCAGCAGUGGGGAAUAUUGGACAAUGGGAGAAACCCUGAUCCAGCAACGCCGUGUGUGUGAAGAAGGCCUUCGGGUUGUAAAGCACUUUUAGUUGGGAAGAAAAGCUCAGGGUUAAUACCGUUGAGUGAUGACGUUACCAACAGAAAAAGCACUGGCUAACUCUGUGCCAGCCGCCGCCGUAACAC